rnacentral:lncRNA from 1 species
UAAAAAUUGUCUAUAUACACUCACACUAACACUCAUGCUCACACUCACACACUCACAUUUAUACUCAUACUUACACACACACUCUCACACUCACACUCACUCACACUCUUACACUCACACUCAUACUCACACUCACAAUCACAAUCACAAAAAUAUAUGCUACACAUAUGUGUUGUGUAUAAACUGAUGUGUGUUUAUAUACGAUAUGUAUAUACUGAUAUAUUUAUACGUGUAUGUAUGCUUGCUAUCAAUUAUAUAUAAUUAUCAAUGUAUAUAUACAUUGAAAUACGUAUGCACAUGCACCCUUACGCAUUGAUAGUGCAUACAUACAUUUCUAUUUAUAUUUAUAUAUAGGAUCAUAC